rnacentral:rRNA from 1 species
UACGUAGGGGCAAGCGUUGUCCGGAUUCAUUGGGCGUAAAGAGCGUGUAGGCGGCCAGACAGGUCCGUUGUGAAAACUCGAGGCUCAACCUCGAGAUGUCGAUGGAAACCGUCUGGCUAGAGUCCGGAAGAGGAGUGUGGAAUUCCUGGUGUAGCGGUGAAAUGCGCAGAUAUCAGGAAGAACACCUAUGGCGAAGGCAGCACUCUGGGACGGUACUGACGCUGAGACGCGAAAGCGUGGGGAGCGAACAGG